rnacentral:rRNA from 1 species
GACGAACGCUGGCGGCGUGCUUAACACAUGCAAGUCGAACGGUAAGGCUCCAGCUUGCUGGGGUACACGAGUGGCGAACGGGUGAGUAACACGUGGGUGACCUGCCCUGCACUUCGGGAUAAGCCUGGGAAACUGGGUCUAAUACCGGAUAGGACCAUGGUGUGGAUACUGUGGUGGAAAGUUUUUUCGGUGUGGGAUGGGCCCGCGGCCUAUCAGCUUGUUGGUGGGGUAAUGGCCUACCAAGGCGGCGACGGGUAGCCGGCCUGAGAGGGUGGACGGCCACAUUGGGACUGAGACACGGCCCAGACUCCUACGGGAGGCAGCAGUGGGGAAUAUUGCACAAUGGGCGGAAGCCUGAUGCAGCGACGCCGCGUGGGGGAUGACGGCCUUCGGGUUGUAAACUCCUUUCACCAUCGACGAAGGGUUUCUGACGGUAGAUGGAGAAGAAGCACCGGCUAACUACGUGC